AUCGCUUCUCGGCCUUUUGGCUAAGAUCAAGUGUUGUAUAAUAUAUAUUUCUAUUUAUUAUCUGAAAGCCACUUUAAAUCGUCUCUAAAAAGUACUUUCACUGUUAUAUAGAGAAAACACC
ensembl:snRNA U2 U2 spliceosomal RNA